rnacentral:rRNA from 1 species
GACGGGGGGGCAAGUGUUCUUCGGAAUGACUGGGCGUAAAGGGUGCGUAGGCGGGUCUUUUAAGUCAGGGGUGAAAUCCUGGAGCUCAACUCCAGAACUGCCUUUGAUACUGAGGAUCUUGAGUUCGGGAGAGGUGAGUGGAACUGCGAGUGUAGAGGUGAAAUUCGUAGAUAUUCGCAAGAACACCAGUGGCGAAGGCGGCUCACUGGCCCGAUACUGACGCUGAGGCACGAAAGCGUGGGGAGCAAACAGG